rnacentral:misc_RNA from 1 species
CUCAAUAGCUGCCAGCUUGAUGCAGAAAGCCUUUAAAACAAAUUCGGUGUCCAGCGAUAAGGUUGCGAUUGCACGAUGAGGUGAUAAGCCUUGUUAUGCUCCUCUCAAGGGGGUCCGAGAUACCGUGUCGAUGAUCGUCCGACUUGCCAAUUAUGAACGCCAGCAACUCCCAUCUCGAAUUAUAAUAUUAUGAUAUAGGUACCUCGAAAAACGUAUUAGAAGAUCGGUAUCUCCUCUUAUACAAAGAAAAAAAAAAAAAUAAUAAUAAUAAUAAUCAUAAAAAAUAGACAGGAGACGAUCUUUAAAUGAAACCGCCUGUGAUGCCAUGCACUUGACUGUUGACUGGUAAGAGCUAGACAGACAGAGGGAGCAGCCACUUGAGAAUCUCCCUGGCCAGACUGUAUGACACAACUGCCAGAGCCACUCGCUCGCGCGCUCAUUCAGCAUGACCUCUCCCAAUGAGGUUUGGAGGGUGACUGACAUGUUUGAGGAGGGCCAUGAGGAAGGCCAACGAGAGAGAGAGAGAGGCCGUAAAAAAAGCAUGCUGGAGAAGGCACGCGAGGUCCAGAAGCGGGCGCGGGGAAGCGUGGUGGGCGUGAAGGAGGGGAAGAAGGGGGAAAAUGUAGCCCUCGUGAACAACCCCUUGUUGGCGCCGCUCGCCCUCGUGGAGGUCAUCGUCACCGCGGGGAUCUGCGCCCUCAAUUACUGCCUCAGGUAUGACGAGAACUUACGCGAGGGCUGCAGCAUGGUCGCCUGGGAAGGGGUGAGGCUCUCCUGCAGCCAAGUGCCCGACAUUUCCUACCCUGCCUACAGUCCUUCUCACGCGGCUACGACUUCGGUUCAGUUCGCUCUCCCCGAGUCAGUCUUCUUCUCGUGCGCCAUUGUGGUUCCCUUGGGCCUGAUGUUGGUGGUCGAGGCUGUCAAGACACAGCAUCCGGUCCGGAGAGUGAAGACUGUGACAUCACUCGGCCUGAAAUUUCCGCCCUACGUACGCCGUGUUCUGAGAUUCAUAUGCACCUUCAUGCUCGGGGGCGCGGCCACGGGGUGUUUCGUGUCUGUCCUGAAGCUGCUCAUAGCCUCCCCUCGCCCUUCCUUCGUCGCCCUCUGCCAACUCAACAACACCAUCUGCAGCACCGCCAGCGUGUGGGCUCCUCACGGCUCUUGCGAGGCGCCCCCCGCGGUCGUGCACGAGGCGCUGCGCUCCUUCCCGUCCUACCGCGCGGCGCUGGCCGUCUACUGCGGCGUAUGGACGUCGGUGUACCUGACCCGCGUGGCGCGCGUGAAGGGCGUGUACAGCUCGUCCGUGGUCAUCGUCGGGGCAGUGUGGGUGAUGACGGCGAUCGGCCUCGGCCACGGGCUCUUCACCUACCAGUCGUCGUACUCUGACGUCAUCGCAGGCGGUCUCAUGGGCGCCGGGGGAGCUCUGUACCUGAUCUUCGGUCUACUGAAUGGCUUCAGGGAGAAGAAAUGGAAGGUGAGCGUCAUCAAAAGGCGCUCCCUGCAAGUCCAGGGAAAUGCGAACCUCCUGCCCAUGGUCCCUCUGGCAGGCUCCGAUUUACCCGCCAAGCCGAACGAAAUCAACAUGGACGACAUGGACGACGAGAGCGACGAGGACUCCUCAGGGGAGGAGAGUGACGAGGGCUUGUACAACCGCCUGGCUUUUAGCAGUGACUCCUUCCCCAUCAUCCCGCGGGCUGCCAGUCGACCCCUGUCCUUAAUCAGCACCGUACUCCGCCCCGGCCCCCGCCCCUCGCGCCCCGGCCUACGACCUCAGAUACGACGACACCUACAGCCGGAGGGACGACUACGCCAGGACGCACCACCUGCGGGACUCGGACACCCUCCCCCGCGCGCGCACCGAGACGUCGUCCUAUUUCUGAGGUGUUCUGGUGCUCCGCUGGAGUUUAUCACAGGUCUACUUUUCGUGGAGUUUUUGCCCUUGUUAAGGUUCACUUGUCAGAUGCGUUUUGCAUUUAGUUAUGCAUCGCCUAGAUAUAAUUUAAAAAACAGACAACCAGAAUACCUUCACACACAUGUAGAAAUGGACAUGCAUAGGCAUUCAUAAAUACAUACGUAAGUAUACACACGUAUACUUACAUAUAAUUCCAUGUUUACAUAUAUACAUAUAAAUGUAAAACAAUGUUAAUUACAAUGUGCUCUCUUUGUUCUGUAUUUGUUAAUUACAUUUAUUGUCUCUUUUUCAUAAUGACCUUUUUUCUAUAGUUUCAUAGAUAGUGCAAACUCUCGUAGCGUCCAUCAUACCGCUCUCCCGAAAGUUAAAUAAUGAAUAAAAACUUCCGCACACUUUGUAGAUAUGUUUCCGAAUUUUAUUUUUCAUCAGCUUACCUUUUUUCCCUCUCUCUGUGUGACGCUCCGGGAGGAAAGGGUUAACAGUAGAAGUAUAAGGACUUAUGUGAUCGUCUCGCAACAGUGAUUCGUCGUGUUUGAUUGAUUCAUUGUAUGAUUAUAAUGAUCAUUGGCUUUGACUGUCAGAUUAGGAUUAGUUUGACAUCUUUAAAGUUGCAUUAUCAAAGUUACACAUACUUUUCUGUAAAGAUUGUUAUUCAUACCAUAUAUUUAUUAACUAGUUGUCAGUAUGGUAGGCUUCCGUUGUCCAAAUCAUUUAAUGUAAAUUUCGUUAAUAAAAGAAAUAUUGCG